GUUCCCGUAGCUCAUUCGGAUAGAGCGUCUGCCUCCGGAGCAGAAGGUGAUGGGUUCGAGCCCCGUCGGGAACGCCA
rnacentral:tRNA from 1 species